rnacentral:rRNA from 1 species
UUGCGGAAACGCUUAGGUGACUUGUCUACGAAUUGUAAUCAUAAUAUGCGCGACGGUGAAUCCUUUGCAGACGACUUGAAUGGGAACGGGGUACUGUAAGUGGUAGAGUAGCCUUGUUGCUACGAUCCACUGAGGUUAAGCCCUUGUUCUAAAGAUUUGUUCA